rnacentral:rRNA from 1 species
GACGAACGCUGGCGGCGUGCUUAACACAUGCAAGUCGAACGGAAACGCCUGCAUUCCCUUGUCUUUUGCGGGUACUCGAGUGGCGAACGGGUGAGUAACACGGGAGUUAUCUUCCCCCAACUUAGGUAUUAGCCUGGGAAACUGGGUCUAAUUCCCGGUAGUACUGCAGGGUGGUGCCGGUGUUGGAACACGAUGUUCUUGUGUGUGGGGAUGAGCUCGCGGCCUAUCAGCUUGUUGGUGGGGUAAUGGAGGACCAAUGCGGCGACGGGUAGCCGGCCUGAGAGGGUGGACGGUGACAUUGAGACUGGGACACGGCCCCGACUCGUGCGGGCGGCAGCAGUGGGGAAUAUUGGAGAGUGAGCGGAAGCCUGCUGCAGCGACGCCGCGUGGAAGAUGACCGCCUUCGGGUGGUAAACUCCUUUCGACGGCGAGGAGGCCAUUUGGUUGGCACGGUGGUGACGGUAGUGGUAGAAGAAGCACCGGCUAACUACGUG